CUUCUUACCUGGUGAGGGGAUGGAUACUGUGAUCACAAAGGUGGUUUUCCGGGCUGAGGCUUAUCCAUUGCACUCCAGAUGUGCUGACCUCUGUGAUUCCCCAAGAUGGGAAACUCGACUGCAUAAUUUGUGAUAGUGGGGGACUGCGUUCAUGCUCUGCCCCA
ensembl:snRNA U1 U1 spliceosomal RNA